UCAACACUUAGUAUCCACCGUUGGAUCUAUCUUUAUAUAAAAUCUAAUGGAUCACAAUAAGUCAACACUUACCGAGGUGGUCAAAUAGCUCUCUAUCUCUCUCUUUGUUUAAAGAUAGAAAUGAAUAAUAUUUGUUUCCUUUUUUUUUUUUUUGAUACGGAGAGUACAACUUGGAGUAUAUUGUAAGAUAGUCAGCUUUUCCUCCUGCUUUGUCGUACUUAUUUAUUAAUCGCUGGUUCUAGUGGACUUUUAAAAUCUUUUGAGUCAAA
rnacentral:lncRNA from 1 species